GCCGGGCGCAGGGGCGCAUGCCUGUAAUCCCGGCGACUUGGGAGGCUGAGGCAGGAGGAUUAUGAGUUCAAAGUCAGCUUCAGCAGAAGUGAGGGGCUAAGCAACUCAGUGAGACCCUGUCUCCA
rnacentral:sRNA from 1 species